UACGGAGGGUGCGAGCGUUGUCCGGAAUCACUGGGCGUAAAGGGCGCGUAGGUGGCGGAGCAAGUCAACGGUGAAAGCUCGACGCUCAACGUCGAGUCGGCCGUCGAGACUGCUUUGCUGGAGCACUGUAGAGGCGUCAUGGAAUUCCGGGUGUAGCGGUGGAAUGCGUAGAGAUCCGGAAGAACACCGGUGGCGAAGGCGGUUCUCUGGGCAUGUC
rnacentral:rRNA from 1 species